rnacentral:lncRNA from 1 species
UACAUAAAAGGCUUUGUACACAAAAAUGCUCAUUCAGUAUUAUUUAAACCAACAAAAAACUGGAGAUAACCUAAUUGUCCAACAACAGAGAAAUGUUUAGGUAAAUCAUGCUGUAUCCUUCUGAUGGAAUAUUAUGCAGCCAUUAAAAAUGAUAUUUAAAAAGAGCUGGUAAUAUGGUCUGAGAAACCAAAACACACACCCCUUUAUCACUAAGAUAGAACCUAAGGUUAAGGAAACAAAGGUUAAUUAUACGGUUCAACGCAGCUGGCAUGGCAACUCCCUAAAUUCCUGUGGCUAUAGGAAAAACCACAUUCUGGAUAAACUGUCUCAACAACAGGAGGUAUCAGGCAAAUGAUCAGACCUCGCCUAGCUAAUUUACAAGCCAGACCACUACAACUCUGAUUGGACAGAGGACUGGCCUUACAUUCUUUUCUUUCUUUCUUUUGUUUUUUGAGACCGAGUUUCGCUCCUGUUGCCCGGG